CUGAAAAAUGUUUAUUAAUAUGUGUCAUAGGACAGAGAUUACACUAUACAGUAAUAUACCGGCUAUUGGCCGACAAUGAGUUUCCAGCUGUCUUAUAACUCUAAGCAAUUCUGAUUAUAAGGUUCCAACUGCUACCAAGAGCAGCAGACUUUAUGACGGUACAAACUAAAACAUCUCAAUACAUAUACAUGUCGUUACAGGACUGUAAAAAAAAUAUCAAUAAAAUAUACACCAUAGUAACAUUAUAACUAACUUUUACCACACUUACACAAGUCUCUGCUUUACAUCCCUAAUAUUGACCUCAUAGAUUAAAGAGAAGCCAAAUGUCAAGAGCUAUCUUAAAAGCACAAUAACAUGUUAACUUUUGCUUCAAUAAUACUAACGUGCAUUUUAUGCUGUUCAGUAAAAGGUGAAUUCAUGGGAAUUAAAAGUAAAUUCAAAGUAUAGGAAAACAGUUGAAUUGAAAACAUUCCACACGUCAGCAAUGUUUUCAGUUUGGAAAUUGUUGCUUAAAAUCUUAAAAUCACUUUGAAAUGACAUAAAAUUACAAAGAAUUUACGUUAGUAAAUAACCCUGUUUAUCAUUAUGCACCCAAUCAACCAACCAACUAGCAAUUGUGUUUACUAACUAAAAGCAGACAGUUCUUCUUAGAAAAAGGCUAGUUAUCUUUCAUUUACUCAUAUGGACGUUCUAUCUAUAAUUCCAUAGAGAUACACCUGUCCACUUGAAGGUUCACUUUGGCUCAGUUCCUAGGGGGCACUUGUCACGUGGUCUUGUAUAACCACUGGUUCCUCAGCGGUGGCCAUCCUGAAAUGUAGGCUUCAGAUGAGAUUGCAGAAAGAGCAAAUCAUCUCAGGAGGGGUACUUGCUUAUGUCACUGCUGCAGGUAAGUAUCAGGAUGUACAGCGAUGGUGACCGGGAUAACCCCCAUCAACCCAAGAAGAGGGAUACAGGACUCAUUUCAACCAGAGGAGGUCGGCCGCAACUCUCAGGCGGGCCAACGCCAGGCCGCACUUCAGAACUAUUGGAGCUUCGUAGCUGCAGAC